GGUGAACGCUGGCGGUGGGCCUAACACAUGCAAGUCGAACGGCCACACAAUGAGAGUUCUCUCUUACGGUUAGCGACUGGCGGACGGGUGAGACAUACAUCAGCUUCUACUUUUUCUUGGGGGACAACGUAGGGCAACUUCCGCUAAUACCUCAUAUAACCUACGGCUGAAAUCAGUAGUUCUUCACACUUUUGGCGUCUCUUUUAGCCGAUGUCGGAUUAGCUAGUUGGCUAGGUAAGGGCCCACCAAGGCAACGAUCCGUAGCUGGCCUGAGAGGAUGAUCAGCCACACUGGAACUGAGACACGGUCCAGACUCCUACGGGAGGCAGCAGUGGGGAAUAUUCGGCAAUGGGCGCAAGCCUGACCCAGCCACACCGCGUGAGUGAUGAAGGCCUUCGGAUCGUAAAGCCCUGUUAUUAGGAAAGAAAAGCAGUAGAAGUAUAUCUGGAUGUUCUGACGGUACCCAAAGAAUAAGCACCGGCUAACUUCGUG
rnacentral:rRNA from 1 species